UCGUCCUACGGGGCGCAGCAGUGAGGAAUAUUGGGCAAUGGGCGCAAGCCUGACCCAGCAAUGCCGCGUGAAGGAAGAAGGCCCUCGGGUUGUAAACUUCUUUUAUCAGGGACGAAGGAUGUGACGGUACCUGAUGAAUAAGCUCCGGCUAACUACGUGCCAGCAGCCGCGGUAAUAAGUCGGGAGCAAGCGUUAUCCGGAUUUACUGGGUGUAAAGGGCGCGUAGGCGGGAUGGCAAGUCAGUUGUGAAAUCCAGGGGCUCAACCCCUGAACUGCAUUU
rnacentral:rRNA from 1 species